rnacentral:tRNA from 1 species
GGAAGGGUGGCUGAGCGGUUGAAGGCACCAAAGCGGCAACUUUGGUCCAUAAAAUAGCUUAUGGACAUCGCUGGUUCGAAUCCAGCCCCUUCCU